GCUAAACCAACAUCUCCAGUCUCCUAGGAGAGUGCCCUAAAGUGCCCCACAAGAAGUUUUUUCUUUCCUAAUGAAGUUCUCCUACUGUGAAACAAAAUAUUCAAGAUUCAUUGGAUCAUCAAUACCGUAGGCUACUGUCCCCAGGAGGAAGAGAUGGAUGUGCCCUGCUCAAUAGGAAGAGAGCUGCCUGGAAAGCUGAUUGCUGCCUGUUUCAAAACUCUUCAGUGGCAUGGGUCCACUCAGUCUCCUCAUGCAGCUACUUCAUACCUUACACAAGCUGUUUUGUUCUUGCAAGUUAUUAAAACACAGUUCUCAGUACUGUUUGUUUCUUCUCCUGGUUUCAGGGUGUUUCUUAACAUAUGCAGGGCUGGCCUUUAGUUUGUUCUCCAAGUCCUGUGUAAAUACAGGCUAAUAGAAGUAUGUCCUUGCCUAGGAAGAAACCCCACGGAUGCUUUGUAACCACACCCUGUGCUUAUCUGUGGGGAGGGCGUGUGUGCAUAUGCCUGUACACACACAGCUAGCCCAAGUGCCAAGAAAAUGACAACCAACAGGGGAGGGGAGCCAUCAGGGACUGUCUUCUGCCAAGAGCUUUGACUGCCAGCAGCGAGGCAGCAGGUAAACAUGGGGACGACCAGAGCAGUGAUGGGGGAGUGAGCAGCCUGGGUGCAUUUUGGCACUGUUAUUAGGGCUCCCAGCUUUGUCUGGUGGCUGCUGCUGUAGGACUGCUGUCAAGGACUUUCUACAACCACAUAAAAAACUACCUGCCUGUGCACCCAUUGCUGUGUUGAUUACCCAGAGGGUUGGUGUGCCUCUAGCACAGGGGCCCAUAAGUUUCUAAGAGUUUGGCUCUUGAGCUCUAAAUACCAUUUUCUUUUUGCCAGAGUCUUAAUGCACCAUAUUCCUGUUGCUUUUCUCCUAAUUUUUCCAGCCCUUCACUCCCCACUUCUCAUUAAGUAUAUCAAGAGCUUUGUCUAAAUCAAACUCAUCAAGAGCCCCUUCCAUCUGACAUAAAAUCCUCUAUGCUACAGGUAAAAACAGAUUCUCUGUGUCUCCCUGUUGAGCAAAGCCUAACCAGUCCUGGUCUAAAAGGAAGUAAUGUCUUACAUGUUCAAGUUCUGUGGAAGAAAAUGGCCAGGGACCCUUGAACAGUGACACAAUUCAUGUGGUGCAAGCAGUGCAGGUGCAAACACCAGGGUGGUAGGGUAGGCUGUAAAUCAAUCUCCUUCACUCAGUGGUGGACACCAGAUGAUGACUAAACAGUGAACACUGCAACAUGUUGUCCUUUGCAUGUGUUCUGCCAGCCCCAGCUCUUCCACCAAUGAUCCUUCAGUGUGGGCCUGUUUGCACAGCCCCUACAACAAUAGGGCAACACCGGGAU
rnacentral:lncRNA from 1 species